UUUGACGUUAGCGGCGGACGGGUGAGUAACACGUGGGUAACCUACCUAUAAGACUGGAAUAACUCCGGGAAACCGGGGCUAAUGCCGGAUAACAUAUCGAACCGCAUGGUUCGAUAGUGAAAGACGGUCUUGCUGUCACUUAUAGAUGGACCCGCGCCGUAUUAGCUAGUUGGUGAGGUAACGGCUCACCAAGGCAACGAUACGUAGCCGACCUGAGAGGGUGAUCGGCCACACUGGAACUGAGACACGGUCCAGACUCCUACGGGAGGCAGCAGUAGGGAAUCUUCCGCAAUGGGCGAAAGCCUGACGGAGCAACGCCGCGUGAGUGAUGAAGGUCUUCGGAUCGUAAAGCUCUGUUGUUAGGGAAGAACAAAUGUGUAAGUAACUGUGCACAUCUUGACGGUACCUAACCAGAAAGCCACGGCUAACUACGUGCCAGCAGCCGCGGUAAUACGUAGGUGGCAAGCGUUAUCCGGAAUUAUUGGGCGUAAAGCGCGCGUAGGCGGUUUUUUAAGUCUGAUGUGAAAGCCCACGGCUCAACCGUGGAGGGUCAUUGGAAACUGGAAAACUUGAGUGCAGAAGAGGAAAGUG
rnacentral:rRNA from 1 species